GACGAACGCUGGCGGCGUGCUUAACACAUGCAAGUCGAGCGGUAAGGCCCUUUCGGGGGUACGACGAGCGGCGAACGGGUGAGUAACACGUGGGUGACCUGCCCUCAGCUCUGGGAUAAGCCUGGGAAACUGGGUCUAAUACUGGAUAUGACUCCACGGUGCAUGUCGUGGGGUGGAAAGCCUUGUGCGGCUGAGGAUGGGCCCGCGGCCUAUCAGCUUGUUGGUGGGGUGANGGCCUACCAAGGCGACGACGGGUAGCCGGCCUGAGAGGGCGACCGGCCACACUGGGACUGAGACACGGCCCAGACUCCUACGGGAGGGCAGCAGUGGGGAAUCUUGCGCAAUGGGCGAAAGCCUGACGCAGCGACGCCGCGUGAGGGAUGACGGCCU
rnacentral:rRNA from 1 species